GAGGAAUGUAUAGCAAUAGCUAGUUGCAUCAUUGUAAAGAUGAUGCAAUAUUGACUAUGUUGAAUAAAAUUCUAGGUAGAAUUAUGAUAAUGACAUUGUCUGCCUAUGUGUCUUGACCAAAUUACGUGCCAGCAGUCGCGGUAAUACGUAGAAGACUAGUGUUAUUCAUGUUUAAUCGGUUUAAAGGGUACCUAGACGGCAGAUCAAGCUUUCCGAGCAGAAAAAAAAGUAAAAAGGACUAAUUUGCUAGAGUUACUUACGAAGGGGUUUUAAAGUACUGCUGGUGUAGAGAUGAAAUUCUUUAAUACCUAUUUUCGAAAGAAUUAUAAUGGCACAGGUAUAGGCGAAGGCAUCCCCUUAUGUGAUAACUGACGUUGAGGGACGAAGGCUUUAUACAACGAACGGGAUUAGAUACCCCAUAGUGGAAGCAGUAAAUGAUGAAUGUCAUAGAUUAGCUAGAUAGGUUCAUUCUAUAAAUGAAAGUGUAAGCAUUCCACCUCAUGAGUAAUAUGGCAACAUUGGAAUUGAAAUCAUUAGACCGUAUCUGAAACCAG
rnacentral:rRNA from 1 species